rnacentral:rRNA from 1 species
UACGUAGGGCGCAAGCGUUGUCCGGAAUUAUUGGGCGUAAAGAGCUCGUAGGCGGUCUGUCGCGUCCGUUGUGAAAACUCGAGGCUCAACCUCGGGCUUGCAGUGGAUACGGGCAGACUAGAGUGCGGUAGGGGAGACUGGAAUUCCUGGUGUAGCGGUGGAAUGCGCAGAUAUCAGGAGGAACACCGAUGGCGAAGGCAGGUCUCUGGGCCGCAACUGACGCUGAGGAGCGAAAGCAUGGGAGCGAACAGG